AGAGUUUGAUCCUGGCUCAGAGCGAACGCUGGCGGCAUGCUUAACACAUGCAAGUCGCACGGGCAGCUUCGGCUGUCAGUGGCGGACGGGUGAGUAACGCGUAGGUAUCUAUCCUUGGGUGGGGGACAACCGUGGGAAACUACGGCUAAUACCGCAUGAUAACUGAGGUUUAAAGGCGCAAGUCGCCUGAGGAGGAGCCUGCGUACGAUUAGCUAGUUGGUGGGGUAAAGGCCUACCAAGGCGACGAUCGUUAGCUGGUCUGAGAGGAUGAUCAGCCACAUUGGGACUGAGACACGGCCCAAACUCCUACGGGAGGCAGCAGUGGGGAAUAUUGGACAAUGGGCGCAAGCCUGAUCCAGCAAUGCCGCGUGUGUGAAGAAGGUCUUCGGAUUGUAAAGCACUUUCGGCGGGGACGAUGAUGACGGUACCCGCAGAAGAAGCCCCGGCUAACUUCGUGCCAGCAGCCGCGGUAAUACGAAGGGGGCUAGCGUUGCUCGGAAUGACUGGGCGUAAAGGGCGCGUAGGCGGAUGACACAGUCAGAUGUGAAAUUCCCGGGCUUAACCUGGGGGCUGCAUUUGAUACGUGUCGUCUGGAGUGAGGAAGAGGGUCGUGGAAUUCCCAGUGUAGAGGUGAAAUUCGUAGAUAUUGGGAAGAACACCGGUGGCGAAGGCGGCGACCUGGUCCUUGACUGACGCUGAGGCGCGAAAGCGUGGGGAGCAAACAGGAUUAGAUACCCUGGUAGUCCACGCUGUAAACGAUGUGUGCUGGAAUGUUGGGGCGACCUAGUCGCCCCAGUGUCGUAGCUAACGCGAUAAGCAC
rnacentral:rRNA from 1 species